rnacentral:rRNA from 1 species
GGGUCAGUAGGUUGGUCGUGCCACCGGUACGUACUGGUCUCACUGAUUCCUCCUUCCUGAAGAACCGUAAUACCAUUAAUUUGGUGUUGCGGGGAAACAGGACUGUUACUUUGAAAAAAUUAGAGUGUUUAAAGCAAGCUAACGCUUGAAUACACUAGCAUGGAAUAAUGAAAUAGGACGAUCGAUCCCAUUUUGUUGGUUUCUAGGAUUGACGUA